UGGUGCUUUUACGUGCAUAAGACAUUCUGUGGGAAAAUGUUUGUCUUGUCUUACCCUAUGUCCGUCCGGAUACAAUAGGGUUUUCACACCCCGGCCGCGUCCAGCUGACAUGGACUACAGGCUUCGAAGCUCGGCAUGUACGGCCGCGUGCUGUAUAAUUGCGGUUAUUGUGUUCUUCACGGUUGUUGCUGGAGCUCUCAGCCUCAGUGCAGCAGGAAAUUUCAGCGUGGAAGCACAUGGUGUCAGGUCCACAGUAAUGAGCGUCUUCGAAGCAGACCGGAUUUUAGGUCUCAACGAUAGCGCACCUUUUCGAAAAUAAAGUCACUAAAAUG
rnacentral:lncRNA from 1 species